UAACAAAACAAAACAAAACAAAACAAAAACAAAAAAGAGUUGGAGCCCUCAACCUAAGUUCGAACUCCCACAUAUAUAAUUCUAGGGUCACCAACUCUGCUUUGACGUACCAUUUGAUCCAGAGGCCAAAAGUACGCUACCACCUCAUGCAGUAGCGGGGUUGCAUAUUGAAUGCCAAGGAGGAUUAGUAUGUCAACAAUGUGCGGUGGGAUACUUCUUAUAUUCAAAGAAAAAGAAGAAGAAAAAUAAAUAUCAGCAGAAAGAAGCAUUACCAUCAAUGAUUCAAUGGCUCUCUCUUCACUCAGUCAUGCCACUCCACUGAAAACUCAUGGAUUCUCGUUCAAAUACCCCUUUGAUUCUUCACCUUCACUCAUUGCUUCUUUCUCACCGAAACCAAACCCUACCAGUUCCUGCAUAAUACCAAGCCACAACAACUUGCUGGGCAAAAUUAUUCUUGAUUCUUUGAAAUGGAGGACCGGAGUUUCCUUCCUUUCAGGAUUUCCUACGAAAGGUGAAGACAUCAACAGCCUCAAGGAAGAGCUUUACAACACAAUAGCUCCUCUUGAUAGGGGUGCCGAAGCUACCCUGCAGGACCAAGAACGCGUAGAAGAGAUUGCACGUAAGCUUGAGGCACUCAACGAAAUAAAAGAACCUCUAAGUCUAGUCUGUUAAAUGGAAAAUGGGAGCUCAUAUAUACAACAUCUCAGUCAGUUCUGCAAACACAGAGGCCGAAGUUCUUACGACCAAAUGGAAAGAUCUAUCAGGCAAUCAAUGCAGAUACACUAAGGGCUCAGAAUAUCGAAACUUGGCCCUUCUUUAACCAGGUUACAGCCAAUUUAGUCCCUUUAAACUCCAGAAGGGUGGCAGUUAAAUUUGAUUUCUUCCGGAUUGCUAGUCUGAUACCUAUAAAAAAUCCUGGAAGCGGCCGCGGUCAGUUAGAAAUUACAUACUUGGAUGAGGAGUUACGAAUAUCAAGAGGCGAUAGAGGGAACUUGUUCAUAUUGAAGAUGGUUGAUCCAACCUAUAGGGUCCCUCUCUGAUGUAGCAUCUAUAACAAAACACAAUUGAAUCACCAUUGAGCCUAAAGCCUAAAGGAGUUUAGUGCGUAGACAAAGUGAUGUUUUAAAUGACUCUAACCUACGAAGAGUGGGAUUCAAACUUGCGUGUAUGGCAUGCACAAAUACUAUAACGAACAAAGGGAUUCGAACUUAAGUGUAUGAUGGGCACACUAUGUCAGACUUGGAUGUUCUAAUCGUUAAUAUACAAGAGUUGUAAAAUCUUCCUUGAUUAUUAUUCUUGUUUAUCAAGUUUGGCCUUGGCCGGAAUUUAUACCUUAA